AUUGAACGCUGGCGGCAGGCUUAACACAUGCAAGUCGAGCGAGCGGCGGACGGGUGAGUAAUGUCUGGGAAACUGCCUGAUGGAGGGGGAUAACUACUGGAAACGGUAGCUAAUACCGCAUACCAUCAGAUGUGCCCAGAUGGGAUUAGCUAGUAGGUGGGGUAAUGGCUCACCUAGGCGACGAUCCAUAGCUGGUCUGAGAGGAUGACCAGCCACACUGGAACUGAGACACGGGCCAGACUCCUACGUGAGGCAGCAGUGGGGAAUAUUGCACAAUGGGCGCAAGCCUGAUGCAGCCAUGCCGCGGGUGUGAAGAAGGCCUUCGGGUUGUAAAGCACUGUCAGCGGGGAGGCGUUACUCGCAGAAGAAGCACCGGCUAACUCCGUGCCAGCAGCCGCGGUAAUUC
rnacentral:rRNA from 1 species